AGUCGAACGAGAAAGCUCUUUCGGGAGUGAGUAAAGUGGCGGACGGGUGAGGAACGCGUAGGAAUCUGCCUAGUAGUGGGGGAUAACUCGGGGAAACUCGAGCUAAUACCGCAUACACUCUGAGGAGAAAAGCGGGGGACCUUUAGGCCUCGCGCUAUUAGAGGAGCCUGCGUUAGAUUAGUUUGUUGGUGAGGUAAUGGCUCACCAAGACUACGAUCUAUAGCUGGUCUGAGAGGACGAUCAGCCACACUGGAACUGAGACACGGUCCAGACUUCUACGGAAGGCAGCAGUUAGGAAUAUUGCGCAAUGGGCGAAAGCCUGACGCAGCGAUGCCGCGUGUGUGAAGAAGGCUCUAGGGUUGUAAAGCACUUUCAGUCGUGAAGAAAUUUAUUUUGUUAAUACCGAAAUGAUUUGACGUUAACGACAGAAGAAGUACCGGCUAACUCCGUGCCAGCAGCCGCGGUAAUACGGAGGGUACGAACGUUAAUCGGAAUUACUGGGCGUAAAGCGCGCGUAGGCGGUUCGUUAAGUGGGAUGUGAAAGCCCCGGGCUCAACCUGGGAACUGCAUUCCAAACUAGCGAGCUAGAGUGUGGUAGAGGGAAGUAGAAUUUGAUGUGUAGCGGUGAAAUGCGUAGAUAUAUCAAGGAAUACCAAUGGCGAAGGCAGCUUCCUGGACUAACACUGACGCUGAGGUGCGAAAGCGUGGGGAGCAAACAGGAUUAGAUACCCUGGUAGUCCACGCCGUAAACGAUGAGAACUAGCCGUUGGGAGGUUCGCCUCUUAGUGGCGCAGCUAACGCAAUAA
rnacentral:rRNA from 1 species